UGGACUAAUUUAGACAAGAUGGUCCUAAGAUAGCCAUUUUUGUACAUGAUUUUACCAGUGAUGAAGGGCUGGGCUGGGCUGGACACCCCGGCUGCAGUCUCCUGAAAGCAGCAGUGGGCUGGGCAGAGCUGGACAGCUGGCCCUCGGGGGGCUGUGUUGGCUCUGCAGGUCCUUCGAGUGCAGCACCUGCUCUUCCUCCAUGGGCUGAACUGGAUUCUGCAGAGCCAUGCUACAUUGCUUUCAUUCAUUCUCUGAUAAUCAUGCUCAAAACACUCACAAACCCAGAGCGGUAUGGCUCUGGACACAGGUUACUCACCUCAGUUGGAAGAAUAAAGCAGAUUUACUGUGUUGCACUGUGGGUACAGAAUACUGCAUGGGGUUCAUUAGCAUCUGCAUCAAUGGUUUGUGAAAUCAGCAAUAGAUACUUAUUAAGGGUCUAUUUCGUCUAUAAGAAAAUUGAAGUUAUAUCUAUUAUGGUUUUAGUUCUUAAAUUUUUGUAGAAAUUUAGUUUAUUUUUACAGAUUAUCCUCAUGCUCAGGUAGACAAGAACUGCUUGACACAUUUGUAUCCAUGUGUAUGGAUGUGCGCACACUUGUAUAUCACACUUCAGUGUCAACUGAUGACAACCCUGACAAAAGUCUUCAUUCUACAUUUACCAUUACGGCUCGAUUGAUUAUUGAUUGGUGGUACUGGAAAUCCAUUUGCACUGAGCUAUGUCACCAGCGACGGUUUUGUUCAGCGACGGUUUUAUUGUGAGACAGGGUCCCUGGGUGAGUUAGCCCCAAUGUGCCACAAAGGACAAGGUGCCGUUCCUUGGAAUACUUACAGCAUGGGUCUGCAAUAGUGUAUUUUAUUUUUCCUAUUACAUGAAGCAUGAACACCUUCCCACACUAGCUUGGCAUUGAUGGAAGUCAGCCAGGUUUCAAUAACUUAGAUCAACCUCUGCUAUUAGUUUGACCAAAAUGGGCAAACAAGAGUGCAGCACAACCAAAUCCACCAGCACCUGCGACUUGUGUCAGUAGCACGUUUCCCACUGUUGGAAAAUACACAGUAUCCUUUCCAAGCUAAAACCAACAGGAGGUAUGUUACAGAGAGGCUCAAAUGCUUCCUUACCAUCAUCAUGAUUCAAACGAUAGCUGAGGAGACCAUUAUUGAGAAGCACCAAUCAACCCUUUAAUUUAUUUGCAAAUAAAUAUCUAUACUUAGCCAAAUGAAUAUCUGGCUAUGGUUCUGCAUGCAAUAAUGCAGGGAACUGCAUGUAGAGAAGUGACUCAUUUCUACCAUAGUCCACUACCAGGUGGCCAACUCUUUCUCCCCUGUCAUUCCUUACUGGGGAAUAUUUAACCCCACCCCUCUUUCCUGCACUCUAACAUUUGCAGCUGGACUAAUCAAUGUUUCUAUUUCUCUGCUUGGUGAGUCUUCCUUGCAUGCAGUGCAUACUUUUUCACCCACUAUUGCUUGGUGACUUACAUUUGAAUUCUGCUUUGGCAAGUGUCCUUACCUCAUCUUCUAUCACCACGGUAAUAUCCAUGCCACCCCGCUGAACUGGGCCUCUUCCUUGACACCAGAACUGAGUUUCCAGAGAGUUCACAUGUUAGUGACUAUUGGGCAGGCUCAAUUCCGAAUCAAGCUGAGUGCUAGGAUUAUUUUCUUUCUCACAAUCCAAGACGUAAACCAAGGGCCGUCCAAGAGGACUGACUCUGUAAUGGAAGGUUCCCAUGAGAUAAGUGAUCUCCUCUCUCCCAAAAUCUGCACACGGAUCCUUACAUGGAGUCUGCCUCCAGCACAGCAGACCUCAGACGCAUGAGGGACCCCUUCGUAGGAAGCAGUCACGUGCUCGGACGUCACCCUUCUGCCUGGAUCACACUUGCCAUCCUGUGGUUAGGAGGUGGAUGGCUCUGCUCCAACAGAGGCCCCAGCUCCAACUCCCCAGCAGACUGGUGACAGGCUCUUAGGUUUUCUGGAGACUGCUUGUGGAAAAGGAUGAAAGAGAAAGCAGAGCUUCAGGACCACAUGCAUGUUUAAAAUGGAGCAGAAACCUCCUCUGCAUGACAGGGAGACUUGUGCACAGAUGCCUCCCAGAUACUCCAGACCCUCACCGCCAUCACCACACACACAGAUGCCAAGGGCUGUAUGACUGCACAGAACUUCCCACUGCCCUGCUGUGCAGGCCUCCUGGGCUUUCUUCUAACGAAUGAAAAUCGCUCUGGGGAGCUGGCAGAGGACACUGAAGAAGGACUUCAGCCACUUGCAGAAUUGCCUGCUGUGAGGGCAUAGAAUUGUGGUUCUUAGGUGAGGCCCCAACAGCAGUGACCAGAACCACCUGAGAACAUGCAUUCCCCACCCCCAGCAUUUGCUGAGCACAGGAUUCUGGAGCCUGGACCCCAAAUUAACAACUUAGGUUUGAGAACACUCACUUCAGCUGUGUCCCAGCACACGCCGGGCAGCACAGGUUAACAGCCCGGCCAUCUGGGAAGUCCCUGAAGACACAGUGGAAGCUGGUCAGUGCAUCUGGCUUUUGGCUUGGACAGGAGUGUCCCGCCUAGACUCUCAGGCUGCAUGUGGUCUAGACAGCCAGCGAUACAGCCCAAGGGACUAUAAACUCCUAACACUAUUAUGUGAUUUCUCAGUGUUCUGGUAAAGGCCACCGCAGUGACAAGAGAAUGCUGUGUAACAGGGUCGAGUCCAGAGCCAGCUGCCUCCUGUGCCCUCUACAAGGUCACUCAAGGGCCCCCUGCAUGUAUCAGACGUUGCCACACAUGUCAUGGUGAGCAAACUGCUGUGAUGGCCAGUGAGGGCUUCAGCCUGUAAUCCCAGUGUUCUGGAAGGCUGAGGCAGAAGGGUCACAAAUGUGAGCCCAGUGAGACACAGUAAGAACCUAUAUCAAAAUGUAAAAAUGGGCUUGGAGCACUGAGAGGAACCUCAGUGAGAAGGUCCUGGCUGCAAUCCCCAGUACUGCAGAAAAAAUAAUAUUUCAAACUACUUGCAUGUAUGUUGGCCGGUGAAGCAGACGUUUAUUUUCACUGAGCAGACAUGUAAACUUUCUUAUUUACUUUUUGAAUUGAGGCUUGUUGUGUUACUUAAUAAAAUACUCCAAUGAGUUUAAAUAAAUUAAUUGGAGCAACUUUGUUAUAGAAGUACAAGAAUGCAAUAAAUCACUUUUUGCUCAUGAUAUGGUGGCAUUAUAUAUAAUGUAGUAUAUCAAACCUAUAAAAUUAAAUGGUUGCUCUUUAUUAGUUAUUGGAAUAUAUAUGGUUGCCAUCUGACAGUGCCAAGCAAACCCUGACCACGUCUCAUUACUUGCACCAUGCAGAUCACCUUCCCGGGCAGCUGUCCUGCUGGACCCUGGGCUUCUGCUCAUGUCUCCAAAUUUCAGCAGAGUGUACAUCAGUGAACUUUCCCAUGAAAGCGUGAUUAGACAAGGCAAUGAUUUCCAGUGAUGAUCUCUCUGGGAAUCCACAAGACCACAGGCAUUUUCACAGUACCACUGGUCACAUAAAUGAAAAGUCGGCUAUGUUAUCCUUUUCAUGCUAUGUUACACUCUUUUCUAAACUGUUGUGGUAAAGUAUACCCAAGGAGAGUCGUGCUCCUUGUAUACAAGAACUAUUUAUAGGUUGUGUGUGUGGCCCAAGAGAAUUCGUGGUCACUCCGGGUGGCUCAGCAAAGCCCAUGGCUUGGUUCUUUCAGGCAGCUGUGACACAGUGCUCAGACUGUGAGAAACAGCGGGGGCUUCACCCUUACAUUUCUGGAGGCUGGGGUGCUCAGCACUAGUGCACCAUGGUGGGACUUGGGCGAGGGUGUGCUCUUCCCACCCUAGGAGGGACUUGUGAGCUCUGGGUCUCGCGUCUGUGAACAUUGGUUCUACGAGGUGGGCAGGGCUCUUAGGAGCCACCCACCCCCCAAGGGUUCAUCUCUUCCAACAAUUACUCAGGGGAACAGGACUUUAACAAGGGAAGUUGCAGCCGAGUGGCCCUCCAUUAUAUAUAAAUACCACAUUUUCUUUAUCCGCUUGUCUCUUCAUGGGUAUUCAGGCUGCUUGCAGGAUUUAUGUAAUUGUCUGGGGCUGUGCUGUGAUAAAUAGUGGUGCACAAAUAUUGCUGUCCUAUGAAAACUCAAGGUCUUUGGGGAAUACACGAGCAGAGGGAGGCUGGGUCAAGACGAUUAUAAACUGUGUGAACUGCAAAUUCAUAUUAAUAAAAUAAAAUGAAAUUAAAAUAAAGUCUGCACAUAUUAAUAGGGGAAAUGUGAAGUUUUAGGGAGACAUGACAUUCGUGAUGCAUCAUUAUGGACUCGGUAACAGUGGCCCAAUGAGAAGCGAGCUUGACUGAGGACUUCUUCUGAGAAAGUUUAUGGUCAAACAUCCCACAGAUGUUCAGAUAUAUUAAAUUAACAUUCCUUUUAUCAAAAUUCAUCCUAGGGAAAAUGAUUGUCAGUGCUGUAUCAAAGGCAUGCAAUGCCAUUUACAGCAGUGCAAUUCAGAACUACAGAAAUAAGGAACAACAUAAGCUAGGUACCUACAACCAAAACAAACAAAACAAAGACUCAUCUGGCACAGCGAAUCCCACUCACCACAGUGGUUGCCACAUCCUUUCUCAGACAAUUUUGAAGGUAUGGAUUUACAUCUCAUGCCAGGCUAUCAAAUAGCCAUGCGCAAACCAGAUCUAUUUAUACUUCAUGCUCAAAGUUACAUCCAGGCCUGUGUAGGGAGGGGAAGUGGAAGGAAGAAAAGAAAACAUUCUAAAGUGUCAGUGGUAGUUAUCUCUUAGAGAAGGAAU